rnacentral:rRNA from 1 species
AGAGUUUGAUCCUGGCUCAGGACGAACGCUGGCGGCGCGCCUAACACAUGCAAGUCGAACGGAGUUGCAGGAGCAGAAGCCUUCGGGCGGACGCACUUGUAACUUAGUGGCGAACGGGUGAGUAACACGUGAGGAACCUGCCCUUCAGAGGGGGACAACAGUUGGAAACGACUGCUAAUACCGCAUAAGACCACAGUACCGCAUGGUACAGGGGUCAAAGGAGCAAUCCGCUGAAGGAUGGCCUCGCGGCCGAUUAGCUAGAUGGUGAGGUAACGGCCCACCAUGGCGACGAUCGGUAGCCGGACUGAGAGGUUGAACGGCCACAUUGGGACUGAGACACGGCCCAGACUCCUACGGGAGGCAGCAGUGGGGAAUAUUGCACAAUGGAGGAAACUCUGAUGCAGCGACGCCGCGUGAGGGAAGAAGAUUUUCGGAUUGUAAACCUCUGUCUUCGGGGACGAAGUAUGACGGUACCCGAGGAGGAAGCCACGGCUAACUACGUGCCAGCAGCCGCGGUAAUACGUAGGUGGCAAGCGUUGUCCGGAAUUACUGGGUGUAAAGGGAGCGCAGGCGGGAUUGCAAGUUGGAUGUUUAAUGGAGGGGCUCAACCCCUUCUCGCAUUCAAAACUGCGAUUCUUGAGUGGUGCAGAGGCAGGCGGAAUUCCCGGUGUAGCGGUGGAAUGCGUAGAUAUCGGGAGGAACACCAGUGGCGAAGGCGGCCUGCUGGGCACUAACUGACGCUGAGGCUCGAAAGCAUGGGUAGCAAACAGGAUUAGAUACCCUGGUAGU